GGAGUUCCGUGCUGACACAGGUGGGCUCCGUGCCAAGUCUUCUGCUGCGCCUCAAAGGUUUCUUAUCAGCACCAUGGAAAUUGAAAUACCAGUUCCUUUCCAUUCAUUCUUUCAUUCAAGAGCAAAAGCUGAUGUCAGCGUGACCUGCAGGCCGUGACCAGCCUGCCCCUGCCCUCUCGGACCUCGUGACCCCUCCUGCUCUGCACUCGCCAUGCUCCAGCACCUGUCCUUGCUGCUCAGGGAUCCUGCCUUUGAGAGGUGGCCUCUGUCCUGCUUCGUGCCUGUUGGUCCAGCCUGGUUAUUGCCAGUGCCGUUUUUACUCUCCCGAUGAUAAACGGCCUCUGCACUUGCACCGUGUUCUCUCUCUGCCCGGCUCGCUCUUCCCCAGCUACCUCCUGCCCUGUUCCCUCACCUGCUUCAGAUCUUUGCCCAAAUGUCACCUUCAGCGACUGUGCCAUGUACAGGGCACACUCCCCUAAGCCCAGCACUCCCCGGGACUUUUAGUCUGUCUCAUUUGCUGCUCUGUGCCUGGAGCCUGGAA